AUUUAAGUCCCAGGGUCAUGUUGGGCUUUAGUUGGUUUUAGAGUUUUCUGGAUACCCUCUUCCUUCACUAAUCAGCCGACAGUAUGAACGCUGCAUUAGUGCUGUGUGUGUUGGCCCUGUUGGUAACCCUCGCUGUGGGCCAGUACUGGGGCGGCUAUUCCCGGGGCCUUGGAGGCUACCAGAGGUACCCCAGGUGGGGAGGAUACAACAACUACAGGCCAUGGGGAGGCAGAUGGUGGCUCGGCGACGACUGGGACGACAACUACGGCUGGGACUAAAUUUUGGCUGAGUCGCUCAUCGUCUACCGUCAUAUAACUUUUAAAAUAAAGUUAACAGAAAAUUGUAA